rnacentral:rRNA from 1 species
CCUACGGGAGGCAGCAGUGAGGAAUAUUGGUCAAUGGGCGUAAGCCUGAACCAGCCAAGUCGCGUGAGGGAUGAAGGUUCUAUGGAUCGUAAACCUCUUUUAUAAGGGAAUAAAGUGUGGGACGUGUCCUAUUUUGUAUGUACCUUAUGAAUAAGGAGCGGCUAACUCCGUGCCAGCAGCCGCGGUAAUACGGAGGAACCGAGCGUUAUCCGGAGUUAGUGGGUUUAAAGGGUGCGUAGGCGGCCUUUUAAGUCAGCGGUGAAAGUCUGUGGCUCAACCAUAGAAUUGCCGUUGAAACUGGGGGGCUUGAUUAUGUUUGAGCCAGGCGGAAUGCGUGUUGUAGCGGU